GUAUCUAUGACCUGUCUAAAAGGUGGUUGACCACGUUCGGUGAUGACCGUCGGAGGUUCACCGACAUCGUGGGAUUAUGUUUUCUUCA